GUUAGUGCUGAGAGGAAGCAUGUUGGUGGGAGCGGUGGGAUCCGGUGAUGUCAUCGUGUCAUCGCUGAGAGGAAGCAUGUUGGCGGGAGAGAUGGGAUCCGAUGAUGUCAUCGUGCCAUUGAGGUGAGGCCCCUAUCCACGCAGCCUGAGCCAGGCACCCCUGGAGGCCCUGUGGGGCCCUGCAGCAGAUGUCAAUGGGACAGGUGUCAGACGGCUAGCUGUUGGCAGCCAGCUACAGCACAGAGGUCACCUAAGCAGAGGAGCCUGCCUGUCUAUGACACCGGAGACACUGGAGGUGUUUGGGGUGGAGAGGACAAGUAAGAAGACAUCACUUACACAAUCAAUCAAAUGUAACUUACAUUCAGAGAACUACUCCUCCAGCCAUCCCUUUCUCCCUUUGUGAUGUCAUAUCCUGGCCAGCCGAAUGCAGGUGGGCUCUCCGUCAAUAUGAGGCUUUUGCUGGUCCCACCCCAAAUACACACAGGUAGACACACACACACACACACACACACACACACACACACACACACACACACACACACACACACACACACACACACACACACACACACACACACACACACACACACACACACACACACACACACAUACGUCACGGCAGCACUCGGAUCUCCACGCCAUGAUGGCCGACUUCUUGGGGUUCCUGUUACUACGAAAAACCGUGCGAUGUCAUCAUGUACUUCCGCAAGAACUUCUCCGCUUUCACCUUCACCUUGAGGACAGGCAAUGUGGCUGCGUCGGUCAGAGGAAGGCCCCAAAAACUGUCAAAGGCUCCAGUCACCCAAGUUAUAGACUGUUCUCUCUGCUACCGCACGGCAAGCGGUACCGGAGCGCCAAGUCUAGGUUCAAAAGGCUGCUUAACAGCUUCUACCCCCAAGCCAUAAGACUGCUGAACAAUUAAUCAAAUGGCUACCCAGACUAUUUACAUUGACCCCCUUUUUUACGCUUCUGCUACACGCUGUUUAUUAUCUAUGUACGUAUAGUCCCUUUACCCCUACCUACAUG
rnacentral:lncRNA from 1 species